GACGAACGCUGGCGGCGUGCUUAACACAUGCAAGUCGAACGGAAAGGCCCUGCUUUUGUGGGGUGCUCGAGUGGCGAACGGGUGAGUAACACGUGAGUAACCUGCCCUUGACUUUGGGAUAACUUCAGGAAACUGGGGCUAAUACCGGAUAGGAGCUCCUGCAGCAUGGGGGGGGUGGGAAAGUUUCGGCGGUUGGGGAUGGACUCGCGGCUUAUCAGCUUGUUGGUGGGGUAGUGGCUUACCAAGGCUUUGACGGGUAGCCGGCCUGAGAGGGUGACCGGCCACAUUGGGACUGAGGUACGGCCCAGACUCCUACGGGAGGCAGCAGUGGGGAAUAUUGCACAAUGGGCGGAAGCCUGAUGCAGCAACGCCGCGUGCGGGAUGACGGCCUUCGGGUUGUAAACCGCUUUCGCCUGUGACGAAGCGUGAGUGACGGUAAUGGGUAAAGAAGCACCGGCUAACUACGUG
rnacentral:rRNA from 1 species